rnacentral:rRNA from 1 species
AUUAAACGCUGGCGGCAUGCCUUACACAUGCAAGUCGAACGGCAGCACGGGGGCAACCCUGGUGGCGAGUGGCGGACGGGUGAGUAAAGCAUCGGAACGUAUCCUGGAGUGGGGGAUAACGUAGCGAAAGUUACGCUAAUACCGCAUAUUCUGUGAGCAGGAAAGCAGGGGAUCGCAAGACCUUGCGCUCUGGGAGCGGCCGAUGUCGGAUUAGCUAGUUGGUGGGGUAAAGGCCUACCAAGGCGACGAUCCGUAGCGGGUCUGAGAGGAUGAUCCGCCACACUGGGACUGAGACACGGCCCAGACUCCUACGGGAGGCAGCAGUGGGGAAUUUUGGGACAAUGGGCGCAAGCCUGAUCCAGCCAUGCCGCGUGAGUGAAGAAGGCCUUCGGGUU